rnacentral:lncRNA from 1 species
GGGCGUUCCAGGCGUGUAAUGCUGAGAGCGCUCGCUCAAACGCCGUGAAAUUCUCGGUGUAACACCUGCUCGAUAACAGCACAUCAAAAGCUUUUAGGAAGCAUUAAUUGGCCACGGCCGCUGGAGCUGGCCAGAGCAGAGGGAGGAGAUCCGAGGUGUCUUGUGGCUGCUGUAAGCUCCUCGAGACCGCUGGGGAAAAUGAGCCUGGGAGCUGAAUUUGGGCAGAAAAUACCCGCGAGGCGAGGAGCAGGCUGGUGCGCUGGUGCGUUGCUGCCCAGGCCCAAAUUGUUUCAAGAUGGAGCUUGAUAAGCCAGUGGAGAGGCCUGCAGAGCGGCGUGGGACACGGGCUCCACAUCACCCGCUCCAGGAUGCCUGGUAGGAAAGGGACCCCUGUUUGCCUGAACUUUCCCCUUUCCUCUUAUGGGCCCAGGCCUCUCCUGGUCCUGAGAUGGACCAUGAGGGAUCUGGGGCUUGUACUGUUGAAAUACAUCUGAAUUUUGGGGCUGGUUUUCACCUGGAUGAGGUAUAGUGAGUGCUGGAGCUCUGUGAGUGCCACACGACAACUCGAGUCCUUCUAAACUUUUCAACAAACCCCCUGGGGCUGUGAGGUUUGGAGUUAUUGCUGGUACUUUUCUCCUCAUCUGCUCUUUUCCUGCAGCCUGCAAGUGCUGUGGCCUUUCUCUACUGGUCUGAGUGUGCUGGAGAUGUUUUUGGUGUGUGAGCCAUGGACCCCCAGCCUCAGUUGCUAUUGCCUGGCUGCAGUAGCUGCAGGGCUGGGUCAACAGCUGCCCUGAACCCUCCAGUCCUACCCUUCAGUGGCAUUUUUUGAGAUUUCUAUUGAAGAAACUGUUUCUUAAGCAAGUGCUAGAUCCAAAUUGGCAUCUUUUUUGUGUGUGUGAACCCAUUAAACCAUUGUCAGGGAGAAAGAAGUGUUGGUGCCUUGCAGCCAUCAAAGCACCAGAGGGGAGGGAGGGCCCUUUUCCACCACCCCUCUGAGCUGCUCCA